UACGUAGGGCGCAAGCGUUGUCCGGAUUCACUGGGUGUAAAGGGUGCGCAGGCGGGAAAGUAAGUUAGAGGUGAAAUCUCACAGCUCAACUGUGAAACGGCCUUUGAUACUGCUUUUCUUGAGUUAGGGAGAGGUUGAUGGAAUUCCUGGUGUAGCGGUGAAAUGCGCAGAUAUCAGGAGGAACACCGGUGGCGAAGGCGGAUCCCUGGGCCUUACCUGACGCUGAGGCGCGAAAGCUAGGGGAGCGAACGGG
rnacentral:rRNA from 1 species